rnacentral:rRNA from 1 species
CCUACGGGGAGCAGCAGUGAGGAAUAUUGGUCAAUGGCCGAGAGGCUGAACCAGCCAAGUCGCGUGAGGGAUUAAGGCCCUGCGGGUCGUAAACCUCUUUUGCCGGGGAGCAGUGGUCCGGACGAGUCCGGGCCGGGAGAGUACCCGGAGAAAAAGCAUCGGCUAACUCCGUGCCAGCAGCCGCGGUAAUACGGAGGAUGCGAGCGGUCUCCGGCUUUAUUGGGUUUAAAGGGUGCGUAGGCGGGCAUUUAAGCCGGCGGUCAAAUGUCGGGGCUCAACCCCGGCCUGCCGUCGGAACUGGGUGCCUUGAGUGGGCGAGAAGUAGGCGGAAUGCGUGGUGUAGCGGUGAAAUGCAUAGAUAUCACGCAGAACCCCGAUUGCGAAGGCAGCAUACCGGCGCCCGACUGACGCUGAGGCACGAAAGUGCGGGUAUCGAACAGGAUUAGAUACCCUUGUAGUC